UCUUCAUUAUUCUUAUCUCCUCGUUUCUUCUUUCUUCUUCUCCUCUCUUCUUCUGUUCGAAACCGAGAGAUGACUUUGAGGUAAGAUUUGAGAGAAUCAUUUGAUGAAGGUAGUGAGCAGAUGAUGAAGAUGUAUAGAUGAUGGAGGAGUCGAGGUUGUUGUUGAUGAAGAAGAAAAGAUGAUUCAGGGAACCAAGAUGGGGUUUUCUGUGAUUAUGAAUUGGGGUCUCGAAUUGGUGAUGAAUAAGAUGAAAUUGAAGAUGGGUUCGUUCUUAAUUGGUGUUUGAUGAAAGUUGUGGGGUUGUUCUGAAGCUGAUUUGAGAAUCGAAUCAAAAGCUAGGGUUCAUAAGAAAAGUUCAGAGGAGAGUUUGAAGAUGAAGUUAAUGGUUUAGGGGAUUGAAUUAAUGGUGGGUUUUUUCUGAAUCGAAGAAUAAGUGGAUAUAUUGGGUUUAGUUGCAGUUUCUCUAGGAAAUUGAAUCAGUGAAUUAGGGUUCUUGAUAGAGCAGAGAUUUAGGGUUCAUGGGUUGAAUCACAGUUGGAGAAGAAGAGUUUGGAGUCACUGUUUGAGGUAACCUCUUUUUACCAAACAGAGUUGAAUCGAAUUUCAUUUUGAAUUAUCGAAUUUGGAUAUUUAUUGGAUGCACUUUGAAUUGAAAUUUGAGUGUGCAGGAAUUGGAGUUGUUAUGAAUUGGUUGAGUAAAUUAGGGAAAAUAUUUGAGUUAAUGCAAUAAUUGAGAAUGUUUAGAGUUCUGCAAGGGGCAUGAAUACUGCAGGUUGGUAUGCAUUGAGGUGGAGUUGUGUUUGUCUUAGAAUUGGUAUUGUGGAGUGCAGAGAAGGAGUUAGUGGUCCAGUGCUGAACUGGUGUUGAUGUUGUUACAUAAAAUGUGUUGGUAGAGUGGUUGUUGAGCUGAAGUGCAGAUUAACUAGUAUUGCAGGUGGAAGUAGUGGUGCUGAAAUGGAAAUGCAUGUGAUGAUGGUUUGAAUUAGAAUGGAUGAGUGUGUGUAGACAUUGCUGAUGAACAUGCUUGAGUAGUAUGAGUCGAACCUAUUAUUAGAACUGUAUUGGUGGUGUUGUAGGAUGCAGGGAAGAAAUCUGGAGUUGUGGAUGAAUAAAUGUUAGAUGUACAUAAGUGAUAAUGGAGUUCAGUUUAUGGUAUGGGGAUGGACUUGUAUUGUAGUCUUAGGAUGACCUGAGUUUGGUAAAUACAAUGGAAGGGAUUGCAACUAUAUGCCAAUGUUGAUGGGGAUAUGAGAGGGGUUAAAGUUCAGUGGAUUGAUACACAUUGGGAAGAAUGAAGUGCAACUGUUAAUGAAGAUGAGCAUUAGCAGAUGGUGUUGGUCUCAACUGAAAUUGUUAGUGUUUUAUAUAAGCUGGGUCUGAUGUGUAUGAAGGUGACUGUGUGUUGUUCAAGAUGUGAUGUUGUGUGAUUGAAAUGUUAGAAUGAGGGUUAAUUGAAUGUUCUGAGUUGUCUCUCUACUGGAAGCUUGCAACUGCAUUUGCAGUGGAUCGUGGAUCUCGAGGUAGGCGUGGCUUGUCAUCAAAAGAGUUUCAGAGACAGAUAAGAGUUGCGCAGCGAAAGCUUCAAUAGUUGGAUAACUUCUACUAUGUUUAUUAUAUUGUUUAUUGUAUCUGUAAACCUAAUGACUAUUGCAUAUGUAUCAUUUGAGAAAACUUCUUGUAUAUAUACAUAUAUAUAUAUGUUUCAGAGCGGGUUAGUUUUGGGUUAAGUUUUGUAGCACAUUUCUUAGUUGAAUGCUUAAAUAUUUGAUUUAGA